GUAGUCUGCAACUCGACUACAUGAAGCUGGAAUCGCUAGUAAUCGCGAAUCAGAAUGUCGCGGUGAAUACGUUCCCGGGUCUUGUACACACCGCCCGUCACACCAUGGGAGUUGGCAACGCCCGAAGUCAGUGACCCAACCAUAAAGGAGGGAGCUGCCGAAGGCGGGGCUGAUAACUGGGGUGAAGUCGUAACAAGGUAAC
rnacentral:rRNA from 1 species